UUGUUCAUAAAAAGACGUAAUUUUUGUAUGUGUGCAUUCUUCCUAGCAAGAAAAUCAGCUUUGGUUUUAUCAGCUUUGUCCUCAAGGUGGCUCUUGGCUACGCUGAGCUUUCGCUAUGCUGUGCACCUGAGCUCCAAGCUGUGUAAACAGGGUUUGAAUCAGGCUGUAGCUGCCGUAUGAUGCACAAUAACUGAAAAAGCUGACACUGGAUACCAUUUAAAUGGAAGCUUUCUAUUAAGAGCUUUAUUUUUCUGGAUGCUUCCCUGCUUUCUAGUAUCUAUAUUAGGCUGCUACUUUCUUAUUCAUUUUCCAUAUGUUGUUACCUUCAGGUCUUGCUUCAUUCCUCUGGAAGAAGGGGGUUUAAGGGAUUUCUUAGGAUCUAUCUGGCUUGGGAUAAUCUUUAGCUACAGCAAUGCUUUGCAAUUAGGUGCAUCAGAACUUAAAGGUAUUACUGGAUUAAGGAUGAGUGGGAUGUAUUAACUUAGUUUUCAGUAUUUAAUGUUGAAUGGUGGGAUUUUAAAAAUGUUUAUAUUGAGAGCUUUUAAAAGUGGAGUGAUCCUGAAAGCACAAUCUGUAAUUAUUACUGAAUUUUCAUCAUU